UUGAUUUUUUGCUUUUGCAAGACGGGGACUGCUUAUACAAAGGGGUUUGUGUGAUCCACCGGCAGGCGGGCCUGCCGAGGAAACGGGCGGUUCUCAAAGGCAAGGGUGGUAUCUCGAUGGGGUUGCCCCCACGAUAAUGAUCCUUCCGCAGGUUCACCUACGGAAA
rnacentral:misc_RNA from 1 species